GCCAUAUGAAUAGAUUUCCAAGCUAACCCAACACCUAGCAAGAACAAAAACCAAUAACAACAGAAAAAAGAAACAAUGAACACUGCUGAUCACAUGGCCUACGAGAUUCCAAGAGGGAACUCAGGUCGGCAGCAGCAGCAGCCACCAGCAGCACAAACUGGAAACAUGGCCUACACGAUUGGAAAAACAAACUCAAAUCCGCAGCCACAGCCGCAUCAGCAGCCACCACCAGCAAAACCUGGAGACAUGGCCUACAAGCUAAGAUGAACAUGAAGUCAUCACGUCCAUGAUCACUAGGAAACAGGUCGUACAUGCAUAUGGGGAAGUGGAAGCUAUGUAGCUACUAGCUAUUGAAAUUAAAGGAAUAAGCUUGCAGCAGCAGCAGCAGAGAUUAUAUUAUUAUUGUUAAUCAAAGAAUAAAGAUCAUCUAUUAUUUGGUUAAUUAAUUGUAAUUCGUUACUUCUUGUUCGUUUUGUUAUUAUUAGUGGUCGCUGUUUAAUUUGCAGCUUUGAACAUUAUACGUAGAAGGCAACUUUUAUGUGUAAUUAUUAUUAAUGUCUCUGAAAGUUUAUAUUAUAGGCAGUGCUAUUUCAAGUAGAUUGUGAAUAUAAUAUUCAUAAUAUAAUAUAAGUAUAGGUCAUUAUUUCCAUUAUUGUACGUUUGUUCUCCAUUGAAAGGUAUCAAUAUAAAUCAGGGUAAAAUUAAUAAGUAA